UACAGAGGGUGCAAGCGUUGCUCGGAUUUACUGGGCGUAAAGCGUACGCAGACGGCGAGAAAGGUCGGAUGUGAAAGCCCCGGGCUCAACCCGGGAACUGCAUCCGAAACCAUCUCGCUAGAGUAUGGGAGAGGGAAGCGGAAUUCCUGGUGUAGAGGUGAAAUUCGUAGAUAUCAGGAGGAACAUCUGCGGCGAAGGCGGCUUCCUGGCCCAUUACUGACGUUCAGGUACGAAAGCGUGGGUAGCAAACAGG
rnacentral:rRNA from 1 species